UCUGUGGGAGACUAUCAGUACGUAGUUUCAAAAAUAAUAUACGUCAGAAAGGAUACCAUUCUGAUCAACCUAUUUGUACCACCUUCAUAAAGGGCAGCAUAUAAUACAUAAACAUAAAUAUAAGUUUAAACAAGGGUAUUCUGUAUUGUCCUAUUGAUCUUAACCGGAUGUUUAUCUAAGAUCAAGAGAUGUGGUACCUAAUAGCAACAAGUCUCGUACUCCUCUCUCUAGCUAAACUUGGAUACUGUGAAGAAGGUGCAUCAUCUGAAGAAGAGCCUGAUAUUGUCUACCGACCAGGAACUGGAACUAUUUGUCCACCAAGAGCUGUUUGCGCUGAUGCAUUUAACUAUCAGCAGACACGUAAUGACGUCACCAACACCAUGAACAGAGUCAUCUAUAAUUGUCGAUGUUCCAGGGAAUCCGUAGAAGUCUGCCCUGUAAAUGAUGCACACAUGCUUCAUUCUAGCCCCAUUCAUAAACAAUAUUUAUGUCGACCGGUCGCAACUUAUCCUAAAUGUAAUUUAGAUGAGCCUACACAGGUUGCUGAAGAAAUGGAGGAAAAUUCACCAGACUUCGCAUUAAGAAAUUAUUUCAGGAUAAACUGCGUCUGUCCUCGUCAUGGGCUUCCGGUAGCUCGGGUUCGGGGAACACUCCAGAGAGCAACUUCUUACACCAGAACAAAAAUUGACUAUGGUCGAUUCAGAUUCUUCCAGCAGUUUGUCUGUAGGGUUUAAGAUUUGUGCAACUUGAUAUCAAAGUGGACAUGGAAGAAUAUCAUCAGACGAUCAAGUCAUGUUCAUGAUAAAUGUUUGUACAUUUCGCUCAGUAUCUGAAUACAGCAAAUCCAAACCCAAUUAAGUUUAAAGUGUGACGUUUCCUAGAUUUAAGUGUAAUAAUACUUUUGACCAGAGCCAAAAUACCAACUUUUAAUGGGUCCAUUUGAUUUAGUUAGGGUUCAUUAUACCGAAUAUUUACUGCUGAACGAUACCAAAUCAAUACAGGACAAAUUUUCUAAAUGGGAGAUCUGUACUCCAAUAGCUUUUCUUCUGUCAAAAGGUUUAUUGCAAUAUGCAUUAUAUCAAGGUUCGUUUGAUUUUGUUUAUAGGAAACAAAAAUAAAUUUUGUCUUGUACAUAAUGCAUAAGUAAAAUAAUUAAAUUUUGAAAAAUGCCGGCUUCUAAUUUAUUACCGCCAUUUGUUGUUUUAAUAUUCGAGAAACCAUCACUUCGAGUUUCAGUUCAAACAUCGGUGAUAUUAUCUCCAAACACAAACAAUUAUGGUAUAUUCGCAACAAUAAAAGAUAUCAAGUUAUAUAUGAAUUUUCACAAUAGCAACCAAUGCCCUAACACACAUAAUCCGGAUGCGGUGGGCGUUCGUCUAAACAUAAUAUUUUAAAAUGUUACUAUUCUAAUCAAACAAAGUGAAUGAGUCGUCAAUAAUUUGUAAUUUAUGGUUGUGUUCUCUGAAUAUUGUUUAAAUAAAGGAUAUGUUAUUAAAAUCA